GGGGUGUGGGGUGUGGGGUGUGGGAAAAAAAAAAAAAAAAAAAAAAAAAAAAAAAAAAAAAAAAAAAAAAAAAAAAAGGUUA